GUACAAAUGGAAGAUUCUCCAAAAAAGAGUUAAACAAUUUGUUAAUUAAAACGUCGAUUAUUAAUUAAAAAAUAUAUAUAACGUUACAACGAAUGAUAAGAGCUAUUGUUUAGGUCAACAGCGAAUUGUAUAACUUGAAAUCUAAAGCGUUAGCACUAUUAUACUCAUGACAAUGUCAUCCGGACGAAUUCUGAAGCGAGUACUUGUAUAGUAUUACAUAAGGAUCCAUGCUGGUACUUGGUAGGUUUACUUGAAACCCAACAGUUUGUGGCAUUCUCUUCUCUUUACUCUAUACCAGUUUCAAUGCAGGAAUGCUUCAAGUAAUAUGUAAGUCAUGCUCGAAGAAAUUCCACAGAAAAGGAUGCUCUGAGGCGUUAAUUACAUCACUGUGUAUAAUGUUUUUAAAUUUAUAGUAUAGAGAAAGUACUUUAAAAGCGUGACGGGUUUUUAUAAAAUGUGAAGGGUAAUGAAGAGGAUAUAAAUAGAGCAAAAAAAAAAUAAUAAAAUAGAUGAGUAACCCUUUGUUUAGACACUAUGUACAUACUUCUGGCUUGAAGAUAAAACUUGUUUAAAAAAAAUUUGCAUUCUAAUGGCCAGCAGAUAAAACAGUCGAGUAAUCAAGUAUGCAAAGAAGCACAAAGAGCGAGGUGGAAAGAUAAAGAGAAGGAGAGAUUGAGUAUAAAGAGGAGCUUCGUUAGGGUCGCCUGAUGAGAAUAUGCGAAUAUAGUAUGUAGUACAACUUCACACUAGCAGGUACCAUUGAUGAUGUUGAGUUGUAUCUUGUAUCCACUGUGCGACGACGCGGUAAUAAACACCUGUUAUACAUUUUGAUGAGUAAAUUAACUGGAUUUGUACACAGAGAGUAUGUACUCUGGAAUAUUAAAAUUUUAAAUAAAAAUAACCUACCAUGAGUUUUUUAAUUUUAUUAAAUAAAUAAAAAUAUUAUUUACACUCGA